rnacentral:rRNA from 1 species
UGACUGUUUAUCAAAAACAUAGCCUAACGACCUUACAUGUUAGGUUAUUUCUGCCCAGUGAAAAUUUUAACGGCCGCGGUAUCCUGACCGUGCAAAGGUAGCAUAAUCAUUUGCCUCUUAAUUAGAGGCUAGAAUGAAUGAAUAAACAUUUAUUUUCUGUCUCCUCAUAAAAAAUAAAAAUUUACCUUCAGGUGAAGAGGCCUGUAUAAUAAAAAAAGACAAGAAGACCCUGUCAAGCUUUAUUGAUUUUUAUACUUCUAAUAACAAAAGAUUUAGUUGGGGCAACAAAAAAUAAUAUAAAUCAUUUUUCUAUAUAAGGUUUAUCCACCAGAAUUAACAAACUUCUUCUAAAUAAAAAGAUAGCUACUGCAGGGAUAACAGGCUAAUACUUUUUGAGAGCUCUUAUCAACAAAAGUGAUUGGCACCUCGAUGUUGGCUUAGGAGACCUUAUUCAUGCAGAAGUAAAUAAAGGUGGUUUGUUCAACCAAUGAUUUCCUACAUGAGCUGA